rnacentral:rRNA from 1 species
AUUGAACGCUGGCGGAAUGCUUUACACAUGCAAGUCGAAUGGCAGCACGGGGGCAGCCCUGGUGGCGAGUGGCGAACGGGUGAGUAAUACAUCGGAACGUGCCCGGUCGUGGGGGAUAACGUAGCGAAAGUUACGCUAAUACCGCAUACGAUCUGAGGAUGAAAGCGGGGGACCUUCGGGCCUCGCGCGAUCGGAGCGGCCGAUGUCAGAUUAGGUAGUUGGUGGGGUAAAGGCCUACCAAGCCGACGAUCUGUAGCUGGUCUGAGAGGACGACCAGCCACACUGGGACUGAGACACGGCCCAGACUCCUACGGGAGGCAGCAGUGGGGAAUUUUGGACAAUGGGCGCAAGCCUGAUCCAGCCAUUCCGCGUGCAGGACGAAGGCCUUCGGGUUGUAAACUGCUUUUGUACGGAACGAAAAGGCUCUGGCUAAUACCUGGGGCUCAUGACGGUACCGUAAGAAUAAGCACCGGCUAACUACGUG